ACACUGCUGACGAGUCCCAAAUAGGACGAAACAGUUGUCCAGUU
rnacentral:hammerhead_ribozyme from 1 species